rnacentral:rRNA from 1 species
AGUGAACGCUGGCGGUAGGCCUAACACAUGCAAGUCGAACGGCAGCACAGUAAGAGCUUGCUCUUACGGGUGGCGAGUGGCGGACGGGUGAGGAAUACAUCGGAAUCUACUUUUUCGUGGGUGAUAACGUAGGGAAACUUACGCUAAUACCGCAUACGACCUACGGGUGAAAGCAGGGGAUCUUCGGACCUUGCGCGAUUGAAUGAGCCGAUGUCGGAUUAGCUAGUUGGCGGGGUAAAGGCCCACCAAGGCGACGAUCCGUAGCUGGUCUGAGAGGAUGAUCAGCCACACUGGAACUGAGACACGGUCCAGACUCCUACGGGAGGCAGCAGUGGGGAAUAUUGGACAAUGGGCGCAAGCCUGAUCCAGCCAUACCGCGUGGGUGAAGAAGGCCUUCGGGUUGUAAAGCCCUUUUGUUGGGAAAGAAAAGCAGCAGGUUAAUACCCCGCUGUUCUGACGGUACCCAAAGAGUAAGCACCGGCUAACUUCGUG